rnacentral:rRNA from 1 species
UACGAAGGGUGCAAGCGUUAAUCGGAAUUACUGGGCGUAAAGCGUGCGUAGGCGGUUUGUUAAGUCUGUUGUGAAAUCCCCGGGCUCAACCUGGGAAUGGCAAUGGAUACUGGCAAGCUAGAGUGUGAUAGAGGAUGGUGGAAGUUCCCGGUGUAGCGGUGAAAUGCGUAGAGAAUCGGGAGGAACAUCAGUGGCGAAGGCGGCCAUCUGGAUCAACACUGACGCUGAGGCACGAAAGCGUGGGGAGCAAACAGGAAUUAGAA